ACCUGGAGACUUGAGUCCAGAGAGAAGUGAAUUCCAUGUGUAGCGGUGAAUGCGUAGAGAUAUGGAGGAACACCAGUGGCGAAGCGCUUUCUGGUCUGUAACUGACACUGAGGCGCGAAACGUGGGGAGCAACAGGAUUAGAUACCCUGGUAGUCACGCGUAAACGAUAGUGCUAAGUGUAGAGGUUUCGCCUUUAGUGCGAAGUUACGCAUUAGCACUCGCCUGGGGAGUACGGCCGCAAGCUGAACUCAAAGAAUUGACGGGGGCCGCACAAGCGGGGGGCAUGUUGUUUAUUUGAAGCAACGCGAAGGACCUUACCAAGUCCUGACAUCCUUUGACCACCCCAGAGAUAGGGCUUUUCCUUCGGGAACAGAAUGACAGGUGGUGCAUGGUUGUUGUCAACUCGUGUCGUGAGAUGUUGGGUUAAGUUCCGCAACGAGCGCAACCCUUGAUUUUAGUUGCCAUCCUUAAGUUGGGCCCUUUAAGGUGGCUGCCGGUGGCCAACCGGAGGAAGGUGGGGAAGGCGUCAAAUCCUCCUUCCCCUUAUGGCCUGGGGUUCCCCCGUGGUUCCAUGGGCGGUUCAAAGAACUGCAAGGCCGCGAGGGGGAAGUAAUUUCAUAAAACCGUUUUCAAUUCGGAUUGUAGGCUGCAACUUGCCUUCCUGAAACUGGAAUCGCUUGUUAUCGCGGGUCAGCCUUCCGCGGGGAAUUCGUUUCCGGGCCUUGUACCCCCCCCCCGUCCCCCCCCGAGAAUUUGUAACCCCCGAAGUCGGUGGGGUAACCCUUUGGAGCGAAUGGAUUAAGAGCUUGCUCUUAUGAAGUUAGCGGCGGACGGGUGAGUAACACGUGGGUAACCUGCCCAUAAGACUGGGAUAACUCCGGGAAACCGGGGCUAAUACCGGAUAACAUUUUGAACCGCAUGGUUCGAAAUUGAAAGGCGGCUUCGGCUGUCACUUAUGGAUGGACCCGCGUCGCAUUAGCUAGUUGGUGAGGUAACGGCUCACCAAGGCAACGAUGCGUAGCCGACCUGAGAGGGUGAUCGGCCACACUGGGACUGAGACACGGCCCAGACUCCUACGGGAGGCAGCAGUAGGGAAUCUUCCGCAAUGGACGAAAGUCUGACGGAGCAACGCCGCGUGAGUGAUGAAGGCUUUCGGGUCGUAAAACUCUGUUGUUAGGGAAGAACAAGUGCUAGUUGAAUAAGCUGGCACCUUGACGGUACCUAACCAGAAAGCCACGGCUAACUACGUGCCAGCAGCCGGGGAAUACGUAGGUGGCAAGCGUUAUCCGGAUUUAUUGGGCGUAAAGCGCGGCGCAGGUGGUUUUUUUAAGUUCUGAUGUGAAAGCCCCACGGUUCACCCGGGGGAGGGUCUUUGGAAAACUGGGGAAAAUUGGAGUGGCAAAAAAAAGAAAAGGGGAAUUUCCUGGGGGUAGCGGGUAAAAAGGGGGAAAAGAUUUGGGGGGAACCCCCCGGGGGGAAAGGGGACUUCCUGGGCUGGAAACUGAAACUUAAGGGGGGAAAAGCGGGGGGAACAAACGGGGUU
rnacentral:rRNA from 1 species